rnacentral:rRNA from 1 species
UACGUAGGGGGCUAGCGUUGUCCGGAAUCAUUGGGCGUAAAGAGCGUGUAGGCGGUCCGGUAAGUCCGCUGUGAAAGUCGGGGGCUCAACCCUCGAAUGCCGGUGGAUACUGUCGGGCUAGAGUGCGGAAGAGGCGAGUGGAAUUCCUGGUGUAGCGGUGAAAUGCGCAGAUAUCAGGAGGAACACCUAUUGCGAAGGCAGCUCCGCUGGGACGUAACUGACGCUGAGACGCGAAAGCGUGGGGAGCAAACAGG